UAAGUUAGUGAACAAUAUUCAAAAAAGGAUUUGAAAGAAAAGUAUUCAAAAAAAGAUAUUCUUAAAAAUUAUCACUACAUAAAGUCUCGAAUACCAUUUUCCUACUAAUUUAUGCAAUUAUGGAGAAAAUAUUCACCUCUUUUCUCUUGAUGCUUCAGUAUGUUGUGGUUAGUUCAGCUAUGACCCAAACCAACACAGAUAAUGAUCAAUUAGCUCUUCUUUCUUUAAAAUCUCAAAUUAUUUCCGACCCCUUUCACUUCUUGGAUGAAAGUUGGUCUCCAUCUAUGUCUGUUUGCAAUUGGAUUGGAGUCACUUGUGGUUCUCGUCACCAGCGAGUGAAGUCCUUGAAUCUUUCUAAUAUGGCUCUUACAGGCAGAAUUCCACAAGACUUUGGAAACCUCUCAUUUCUUGCUUCUCUUGACUUGGGAAGCAACAAUUUCCAUGGAAAUUUGCCUCAAGAAAUGACACGCUUGCGUCGUCUUAGGUUUCUUGAUUUAAGUUUCAACAGCUUCAGAGGAGAGAUUCCUUCUUGGUUUGGGUUUUUACACCAACUUCAAAAUCUUAGGAAUAAUAGUUUCACUGGUUCCAUCCCUUCAUUUUCUAAUAUGUCCACUAUUGAGACUUUGAAUUUGGCAUUCAAUUCCUUAGAAGUUCAUAUCCCUGUGUCUCUCUCGAAUGCCUCAAGGUUGGAGACGUUAGAAUUAUCUUAUAAUUCACUUCAAGGAAACAUUCCAGAAGGGAUCGGCAAUUUUCACAACAUGAACUCGUUGGGCAUAGAGAAUAAUCAGCUAGUGGGUUCUAUACCAUUCACAAUUUUCAAUAUUUCUAGGAUCGAAGUCAUUGCAUUUACUGGCAAUAGCUUAUCAGGAAGUCUUCCCAAUGGUUUAUGAAAUGGUCUCCCAAUACUCAAAGGGCUUUAUUUAUGGACAAACAAGCUUUGCGGUCAUAUGCCUACAAGUUUGUCGAAUUGUUCACAACUUCAAAUUUUGUCUUUAUCGGAUAAUGAGUUUGAUGGACCAAUACAUAGUGAACUAGGAAGAUUGAGUAACUUGCAGCUAUUAGAUCUCGGAACUAACCAUUUCACUGGUGAAAUACCCAAAGAGAUAAGCAAUCUUGCUGAGUUGGAGGAACUUGAUCUUUUGGUUAGUAGUUUUAGUGGUUCACUUCCAAUGGAGAUCUUCAACCUAUCCGGGCUGAGAGUAAUCAGGAAGCCUCCCACCAAACAUAGGUUCUAUCUUACCCAACAUUGAAGAGCUUUAUCUGGGUGGCUUAACCAACCUUGUUGGGACUAUUCCUCAUUCCAUCUCCAACUGUUCAAA